CACAACUUCUUUAUCCAGUCAUCUGUCGAUGGACAUUUAGAUUGUUUCUGUGUCUUGCCUGAUGUAAAUAGUACCGCUAUGAACACUAGGGUGUGUAU